GGAGGUAGGCCCUCCGGGAUCGCCUUUUGGGAGGAGAUUCCAAACCACCGUACGGGGCAUUAGCUAAAGACUGUUGUCCAAAGCGGUACUAAAAAAGUUAGAGCAAUGACUCUUUCAGGU
rfam:Acidithrix ferrooxidans strain Py-F3 AXFE_contig000105, whole genome shotgun sequence.